CAGAUCAGCAUGCUGCGGUGAAUACGUUCCCGGGCCUUGUACACACCGCCCGUCACACCAUGGGAGUCGGUAACACCCGAAGUCGGUAGCCUAACCGUAAGGAGGGCGCCGCCGAAGGUGGGAUUGAUGACUGGGGUGAAGUCGUAACAAGGUAAC
rnacentral:rRNA from 1 species